rnacentral:misc_RNA from 1 species
AUGAAAUGAAAAAAACAGGGUUUAGACCUAACUAUGGGCUGUACACCAUGAUUGUUGAGUCCCAUGCAAAAUCUGGGAAGCUUGAUGUUGCUACGUCUGUCUUCUCAGAUAUGGAAAAGGCGGGAUUUUUGCCCACUCCGUCCACCUAUUCUUCUCUCCUGGAGAUGCAUGCUGCUUCUGGUCAGGUAGAUGCUGCAAUGAAGCUUUAUAACUCAAUGACAAAUGCAGGUCUGAGACCAGGACUGA